UACGGAGGGAGCUAGCGUUGUUCGGAAUUACUGGGCGUAAAGCGCGCGUAGGCGGCUUUGUAAGUUAGAGGUGAAAGCCCGGAGCUCAACUCCGGAACUGCCUUUAAAACUGCAUCGCUUGAAUCCAGGAGAGGUGAGUGGAGUUCCGAGUGUAGAGGUGAAAUUCGUAGAUAUUCGGAAGAACACCAGUGGCGAAGGCGGCUCACUGGACUGGUAUUGACGCUGAGGUGCGAAAGCGUGGGGAGCAAACAGG
rnacentral:rRNA from 1 species